GACAGAGGAGGCAAGCGUUGUUCGGAAUUACUGGGCUUAAAGGGCGUGUAGGCGGCUCCGCAAGUGCGGUGUGAAAUCCCGUCGCUCAACGACGGAACUGCAUGGCAUACUGCGGAGCUUGAGGUCGGUAGAGGUGCCCGGAACUCUAGGUGGAGCGGUGAAAUGCGUAGAUAUCUAGAGGAACGCCGGAGGCGAAAGCGGGGCACUGGGCCGAUUCUGACGCUGAGACGCGAAAGCGUGGGGAGCAAACAGG
rnacentral:rRNA from 1 species